ACCUUUACCUCCUCUCUCUCAUCCCCACAUCCUCAUGGUCCGCCUCUGCACCCGCUUUCUCUACAGCUCGACUCGCCAGUCUUUCCUUUUCUGGUUACUUUCGUGUGAAGUUUGUUGCUUUUGCUCAAUUUCUUUCAAUUGUCCUCCGUGUUUUGAUCACAAUAGCUACUUUUCAUGGCCUCUUGUCCAAUCAGUAUUCCCCAUCUGCUGUCUUUGUGCUUCUUUUCUAAGCAGGACUUGGUAUCAAACACAUUAACAGACCCGCAGUUUUAUAACGCCCACAACGCCAGAGUGAAAGCAGUAAAUGGAAAGUCAUCUCAACAAUAAACAGGAGUUAUAUUACCAUUAUUUAUUUUAUUUUAUUUUUUUUUACACGUUGAGUCACUACUUGAACUCUUACCUUUCCCUGUUUAUAUCCUGGAAAAAAAUGAUUUCUCUGUUGCACCUGUACUCCCACUCAUCCUGCAGCCUUUUAAGUAUUGGUGGUUAUAAAUACUAUAUACAGGAAACCUGAGCAGACAGGUUAGCUAUACAUGCUGAGAUGUGGCCAUGUCACGAUGUCAUCUGUUAAAACGCUCAUCCGGGGUUAUUCUGUGAGGGCACUGCAGACUUUCUUAUUUUCAUCCAGCGUGUUGCUGCUGCAGACGUAAUGGACUCACAGCUUCAAACUGUCCCUUCCUGCAGCUUUGAUUGUGAAUUAUAAGACAAGAUAAUGAGCAGUCACGGCCCCGGAGCAGCUGGGUGGAGAGUGAACAAAUUUGUAAAUGACAAAGUAAGCAGAGACACGGUUCUUCUUAUUUUCCUGGCCUGUCGCCCGAAGAGAGUCUCUAACCCCCCGACCCGUCUCCAUGAACCCCUCCAAGACCCGCAAGUGCAAACUCUGCUGUGGCGACCGGAAGGAAUUAAAAGCCUCGGAGGGUUUGAUGUGUGGAGCUGUUAAUGGGUUGUCAUAAUAUGACUCAUUUAUUGAUCUGGAGCAGAAUGCGGUGCUGUGUGUUUUCGGGUCGACGUGCAGAUUUGUUUUUGCAGCUCAGAGAAAGAGAAUAAGAUAAACUGUUUUAAAAAAAAAAGUGCGUUUCAUCUGCUAAAUGCAGUAUUCAUACUGAGAUUUGGUCUAAAAGGGUUUCAUUGGGACUUUAUGUGACACACCAGCAUAAAGUGGUGAAUAAAUGUAAAGGAAGGAAAAGAGGAACUAACAAAUUUCCAGUCUCUAGGUCGGCGGGUCAAACUCAUUUUCGUUUUGGGCCAAAUUAAGAUCCUGAAUGCUCUUAAAGGGCCGGUUGUGCUGAAUGUAUUGAUGAAACCUGUUCACAAACUGUUAAUAUAUCAAUUAAUUCUUAAUAU